CUUUCUUGGCCCAUAUCAAUGUGCGCUGGGAGAUAAGAAGGCACGGCACUCUGGUAGAGGUCCAGCUCCUAGCAGGCAGGCGGGGCGGCGACCACCACGGCGACCGGCGGCUACGCAGAUUACGGAAGUUUUGUCGAUCUGCUGGCCGAUUCAAGCUCUGUCGAUCUGCUGGCCGAUUCAAGCUCAAUGUCGGAUCGGUUGUAGUUGGUUGAGUGGAUAACUGAAGAAAAUAAAAGAAGGAAGAGGAAAAAUAAUUGUUUCGACUAAAUUAUUUGCUGAAACAUGUGCUCUUGCAUUAGCUAGGUGACCAGGGGAUCUAUGCAGUUUUAUUGAUGAUGAGAACAAGCAUAAGCGUAAGAAAUAUUGUUUGGAACUAUCAUAUUUGAGUAUAUGUCUUGUUUGGAACUACCAUAUUUGAGUCUUUGUCUUGUUUGGAACUCUCAUACUUGAGUUUAUGUACCGUUUGGUACUAUCAUAUUUGAGUUUAUGUACCGUUUGGAACUAUCAUAUUUGUUGUAUCUAUGAAUAUUUGAGGCUCAAAUAUUGUUUGGAACUAUCAUA